rnacentral:rRNA from 1 species
UACGUAGGGGGCAAGCGUUAUCCGGAUUUACUGGGUGUAAAGGGAGCGUAGACGGCAGAGCAAGUCCGGAGUGGAAGCCCGGGGCCCAACCCCGGGACUGCUCUGGAAACUGUUAAGCUGGAGUGCGGGAGGGGCAGGCGGAAUUCCUGGUGUAGCGGUGAAAUGCGUAGAUAUCAGGAGGAACACCGGCGGCGAAGGCGGCCUGCUGGACCGUGACUGACGUUGAGGCUCGAAAGCGUGGGGAGCAAACAGG